AAGGAAGAAAUCCACGGAUGGAUUUCUAGGUUUUUCUGAGUCAGGACGACUCAUAAAAACCGGUCCU
rfam:Vibrio mangrovi strain CECT 7927 genome assembly, contig: 0003